CGAGCACGCGCGUGUGGCAUAUCAAUAAGCGGAGGAAAAGAAACUAACAAGGAUUCCCUAGUAACGGCGAGUGAAGCGGGAAGAGCUCAAAUUUGAAAUCUUCAAGGUUUUACCUUGACGAAUUGUAGUUUAUAGAAGUGUUUUCUGUAGUGGAGUUUGGUAAAAGUUCUUUGGAAUAGGACAUCAUAGAGGGUGAGAAUCCCGUAUUUGGUCAUUCCUCCUAGCGUUGUGAUACACUUUCAACGAGUCGGAUUGUUUGGGAAUGCAGUCCAAAAUGGGUGGUAAAUUUCAUCUAAAGCUAAAUAUUGGCGAGAGACCGAUAGCGAACAAGUACCGUGAGGGAAAGAUGAAAAGAACUUUGAAAAGAGAGUUAAACAGUACGUGAAAUUGUCAAAAGGGAAGCGUUUGACACCAGUGUUGUUUUUCCGAAAAUCAAUUACGAAUGUUUUAGUUUUUGAGGAGUUAUGACUUCAUCGGCUUGCUCCUUUCUUUACGAAACUUUCUUAAUGCACUUUUCGGUUAACAAGUCAACAUCAAUUUCUUUUGUUGUAAAAGGGUAUGAGGAAGGUGGCUUUCUUUUCGGAGAAAGUGUUUAUAGCCUUGUAGCCUCUGCAAUCGGAGAGAUUGAGGUCUGCAGCGUAGAUCCUUCGGGGUUAGAUACAUUUGUGCUAAGUUAUAGCUUUUCAUAGACAACUUGUUGACUAUGUUAAGUCUUGUAGCUUACUCGCUUAUGCUAUUUUACCUACGCUUAGGAUGUUGAGCGCAUGUCUCUCUC
rnacentral:rRNA from 1 species